CGCGCAGGCGGUCUUGUCCGUCAGGUGUGAAAGCUCGGGGCUCAACCCCGGAAGUGCACUUGAAACAGCAAGACUUGAAUACGGUAGAGGAGAGAGGAAUUCCUGGUGUAGAGGUGAAAUUCGUAGAUAUCAGGAGGAACACCGAUGGCGAAGGCAUCUCUCUGGGCCGAUAUUGACGCUGAGGCGCGAAGGCGUGGGUAGCGAAC
rnacentral:rRNA from 1 species